CCCUGGUGGGGAUUCCGGUCUGAGUCAGCAGAUGUGGCCUGGGAGCUGGGUUCUGCCCAGGUCCGCUCAGGGCCGGUGCCACGCCCCAGGGAGGGGCCUGGGCGAGCCCUCAGAGGGCCCUUGUUGUGCCAGGCUUGGGAGGGCAGGGUACUGGGCCAGCGCGCCCGCCCGUGUGGGCUCCGCUCAGCCAAAGGCUUGCUCAUGGGGUCCUCCCACCCCCGGUGGGGAGGGCCUUCAGAGCAUCUGGCAGUGGCCACACGGGCAUCUCCUUGUCCAACAGGCACUUUCAGAAGUGCCAGCUCCUGGGAGUGCCGGCCUGACGGUCACCCACACUGUGCCAACCUGAGCUGCAGGGAGGCUGAGAGAAGGCCUAGGGGUGUGGGCAGAGCAGCAGGCCUGGGCCCUGUGGGCCAGGGAUCAACAGGGCACCCCAGACACCUGGCCCACAGCACAGCCCUGCCCACGUCCCCUGAAUAGAAGCUCAGGCCACAGCUGAGUGGCCUCCAGGAAAGCCCUGUCCUCAGAGGACCCUGGUGCUAGAACCGACCAGUUAACCCAACUCUUGCUGAGUUACAGAACUUGGUCAGGAGAAGUGUCCUUCCCAUCCCAGACCUGCAGCCCAGGGCCUCUGGGUCCCUCAGACGCUGCUCAGUGAAUGAACAUGCUCUGUGUAUACAUGGGGGUCACUUGCACAGCGUUGCCUCGUGUGGCCUUCAUAGGAGAGCACCAGGCCUGAUUCGCAGAGGAGCCCGAGGCUCGGGGCCCUCCAGCCAGCCUGUGACAGCACAGAGGAGCUACUCCUGCAGCCAGGCUCUCUGCCCUGUGAGACCCCAGCCCAGCCUAAGCCAGGGCCAGCGUCACAGGAAGGAAGCUCCUCCGUCCCCUGGCCUCCUUGGGGGUCCCUUCCCUGUCCCAUCCUGUCACUUGGGGCAGCCCUGUGGUAGCAUUUGGGCCUGUUGUCCCAGGCUGCUGCUCCCAGCCGGAACCCAGGGGCUGUUACUGCUGUCCUUUGGGUCCUAGAGCCCAGGGCAGUGCAGAACCGCCGCCCGGGCCUCCGUGAGAAACAGGCUUCUGGAUCAGCCCUCAGCGUCUGCUGGGAGCAGAAGGGAUCCCCGAGGGUCCCCGAGCCAAGGCCCCUCCGCAGCGCAGGCCUGUACUGUCGGAAGGUCCUGCCGAGCUGAGCCCGCCUUUCCCAGUGUCCCUGCAAGGCUGGUGUCUUCGUGGCUUCACCCACACAUCUCAGCAGAUGGACCGCAGAGCAGCUCUGCGAAGACAGCUGUCUCCUAUUAGGCCAGACAGUGAGAUCGCCCUGGUAGGGCAGGCCAGGCUCCUAGGGCUUUUAUUUUGAAAAGUAGCUGCUUUUUAUAAGACAUUAUGUUGUUCAUGCUAACAUGUAGUAGCUGAAUUAUGUUCUUUUCAAGUGAAUUAAUAAGUAUUGUGAGCACCUAUUUAGAAUAUGGUAAGCUCCACAGACAGGCCCACACCCACAAGUGCUCCUGGUCCUGAGGUCAACCCUGUGGGGACUCCUGCCGAGGCUCAACACGGAAAUGCUAAGAGGAUUCUGAAGCCCAGAUGUCUUCUGUCCAGACUUGACAGCCCCCUCUGACGGGCAGGGCGGGCUUGGGGAUUGAGCAAGACGCCUCGCCUCGCCUCACUUCCCAGCUCCCAACAGGGUUCUGUAAACAUCUUGCUGACACGGGCAGCAACAACCUGCAGACUGUCUGCCUGUCUCCAAGGAGGGCAAGCCGGAGAGGCCCAUGCCAGCCUUCCUCCUGUCAGGUUGUGAAUGGGGCCGUUCAGGUCGUACCUGUGGGCAAGGUAUGAACAGGCGCCUCUGUGGCCCCUGGCCCUGAGCUCCCUGACUCUGAGUGCACAGCUGCUCACAGCACCACCCGGGGAGCCCGGGGAGGCGGG